AGAAUUGCUUACCUUUGGAAUAUCAAGUACUUGAGUAAAUUCAAGUGGGAUGAUCUUACUGAAGAGAUUGCUUACAAGAAUGCCAUUAGGGAGCAGAAAUUAGCUUUAGAAAUAUCAGCAGCCAAUAGAGAGAGGAACUUCUACCUCGCUAAAGUUGAUCAAUCCCGAGCUUUGAGUUCUAUAGAGGAACGAUUGAAGAAG